rnacentral:lncRNA from 1 species
CUUUCCAGAGCCUUCCAGCCAGCAGCUCCAGGUCCCAGGGCCACGGGAGGGCUGCCAUAGUGAUGCAGUUCCGCUCGCAGCCGCCAGGAGGAGCUCCCCGGAGGGCCCUCACUGGUGUGUGCUGAGCAAACGUUCGGGCCUGAUGUCGGCAACAUGCGGAACCAAUUUUCGGGGAACUCGGCAGCCAAACCAGCCACCUUUGGGCGGGAAGCAGGAUCGCUGUCGGCCCAGGCGCUCCGUGUCUCCCGUUUGGAAAACCGGAGGUCUCCUCGUGGUGGAGGCUACUCACCCAGUGUGUUUUAAGGUGGCCCUGGCCACAUUGAGGUGUUCUAGGAAACAGCCACAACAAGGUCCCAGUCAUCAGCUGCUGUCAACUGCCACACAUGACAGAAAUGAGCCUCUGGUGUAUUCCAGCUACAGUCUGAGGAAGAUCCCAGGCAUCGUGGAGCAGAGGGGGAGAAGCUCCAGCUGUACCCUGUUUGAACUUGUGAACCCACAGAGUUUGUGCCCUGGAUAAUACAUGAUUGCUUUUGGAAAGCUUGUCAUUUUGCCACAGUACUCGGAGCACAGAACUCACAGUUGGGGGAACCAGUUACCAACUCUAGAGUGAAGAUCAGAGCCCCAAAAGGACUUGAUGUGGAUCACACACUCUCAACAAAUGAUGUCAUCACCACAAAGGACCAAAAUUAGCUCUUAGGCAAUGAGAAAUCUGGCCUUUUCAAUGAUUAAGCACAGAUCUAUGUAGGGUACAUGAGCAGAUAUAUAGGAAAUCUAUGGUAUUGAAAUGUCAUGGGAAAUCUAGAAGACAUGUGGGUAAAAUAUCUAAAAAAUGUUUCUUAGGUAUCCAUGGGGAAACGCUGAGCUGGAUGGAGAGAAAGUGUCAUUCUGAGCUGUAUAAGUCUGAGUGCAGCCUGCCUAAGCAAAAGGUCCCAUUCUGACCAGCUGGGUGACCCUGAGCAAGGAGCUUGACUUCUGUGAGUUUCAGUUUCAUCUUUAGUAAAACACAGAUAACAAUGCCUAAUGUUCAGAACAUUGUUAAUGGUCAAAUAAAAUGUUCUUUUUUUUUUUUUUUUUUUUUUUUUUUUUUUUUUCUCUUUUUUUUUUUUUUUUUGUUUUUUUUGAC